rnacentral:misc_RNA from 1 species
GAUGAAGAACGCAGCGAAAUGCGAUAAGUAAUGUGAAUUGCAGAAUCCAGUGAAUCAUCGAAUCUUUGAACGCACAUUGCGCCCGCCAGCAUUCUGGCGGGCAUGCCUGUCCGAGCGUCAUUGCUGCCCUCAAGCACGGCUUGUGUGUUGGGCCUCCGUCCUCCUCCCGGGGGACGGGCCCGAAAGGCAGCGGCGGCACCGCGUCCGGUCCUCGAGCGUAUGGGGCUUCGUCACCCGCUCUUGUAGGCCCGGCCGGCGCUUGCCGACACAUCAAUCUUUUUUCCAGGUUGACCUCGGAUCAGGUAGGGAUACCCGCUGAACUUAAGCAUAUCAAUAAGCGGAGA